AAGAAAGUAAAAAGAUACAGUAAGACUCUUUCAAUCUUUCUCUCUCCCAUUUCUCCUCAUCCCCGAUUGUCUCUUCCAUUUCUCCAAUCAUCCUCAUGGAUUUCUAGCAAUCAUUCUCGCGACUUCUCUAAACCACCUGAAAAGCUUUCAUAUCCUCAACAAAUAGGUAUGUUCUUACUCAGCUGCUUAAAAAUUGUUUCAAUCCACAAUUGAAAUAAAGCACUGGUGAUGCCUCGUCGGAACCAUCACCGUCACCGCCGCCAACUUCUGUCCCCCAAACUUUGCUCUGUCCAACGACAACGGUGGCUGGUAUAAUCCUCCGCUCCAGCACUUCGAUUUGGCCGAGCCUGCUUUCCUUCAAAUUGCUCAGUACCGUGCUGGAAUUGUGCCAGUUGUAUUCAGAAGUUUGAAUCCGAAGACACUUACUCUUUCUUACUUUUUGGUGGCGGUGCCUUGCUUACCCUGUGGCUAGCAUCAGCUGUUGUUGGAGCAAUUGAUUCUAUCCGGGUGGUGUGAAGGCUUUUCCUUAGCAUCUUUGUUUUUCAAUCAAGUCAAUAGAUUUUUUUUCCCUAAGUUGGCAUAUUGAUGAUAUGCUUAAUUCAAUGAAAUGAAUCAGUUCCCCAAAUUGUUGGAGAUUGUUGGUCUUCGCUAUACAGUUUGGUUCGCAUCUCGCUAUCUGAUAUCCAAGGUACUUGAUAAACAGAGAAAAUGAGACCUUAGAUCCAGGAGAAGAUGAGGCAUUAUCAGAGGAGGCUCUGGCGGAAGACGAAGAUGCCAUGGAAGACUGAAAUCUGAUACCAAAUGAAGAACAAAGAAAACUAAGACAAAUAAAUAUAAGGAUAUAAGCUGAUAAAAACAUAAAUGACUAAGCUCUCGAAAAAAUAAAAAAACAACACGUACCUUAUUAGAAGUUGAUAUGCGAAAGGGAAAAUGCAGCUUACACAAGGAUGUAUACAUACACAAAAGUUAUAAUGAUGUGUAUUCAAUUUAAGCCAUUGAUAUUUGCAGUUUAGGAGUUGUAUAAAAUCUACCUUUGAUAACGAAAACAAAUUACUUAAAAUAAAGAAGAGGACCCACAUGGUUAUAGAGUGUCAUUAACGC